CAUGCUAGAGCACUUUUUCAAUGGGCUCCCCAAAGACAAGGCGACGCAUUCGUAUGUCAUCCAUAUCAACUUUCAAUGCCACUUUCUGUGCCUACCAUGGUGACCAUGGGUAACAGGGAAUCAGGGUUCGAUUCCGGAGAGGGAGCCUGAGAAAAGGUUACCACAUACAAGGAAGGCAGCAG